GCGACCUUUGCCCUUCCUGUUGAAAACCUCUGUCGAAUAUACACCACAAAAGAAAUACUCUCAUCAAAAACCCAAACCCUUGAGCUUUGCUCCGUAAGUACAGAAAAUGCAAUCCAACUUCUUUUGGUUGACGUAUUGAUAAAAAUUGGGAAGUAAACCUUCCGUGAACUUGUAAUUAGUUUACCAUGCAAAGUGUUGACAAAAGCUUUAGUUCAACACCCUGGAUUUCCCCCCUGCUUGGCUGAAUGAGAACAGUUCCUAGUGGCAAUCAUGCUGGGUCAUGAAACUAAUUGUGCUUUGUGAGGGUGAAAAUUCUCCGUUUCCGAGCGGGGGACACUGCUGCAUGACGGAUGAACGUUAGAAAUGUGAUUUUGAUUCUCCAACUCAAAGAAAGGGAUAUUACUCAAGCUUUUAGGACAGCUUGGAGUGGUCAAGCCUCAGCACUCAGAAGACAGAGGAAAGCAGGAAAGGAGGAACUCUCUGCAGUUGUCCAGUGACAUCUGGCCACAUCUCCACGGCUUUGCCUGAUUCCACCUGCCUAAAAUACCCUUUCUUCUCCCUCUCCAGCAAACCUCUAAAUAUCUACGAUGUGAUCUCAUGAAAGAAGCCUCCCAGCCUGGGUUCAGGGUUCUUCACAUGACACUGUACUUUUCAUAUUAUGAGCUAAAUAUGAGACAGAUUCUCCCCCUGGAUUGAUGGACUCACUCAUAUGGAGCCAAUCAUCCUACCAAGAAUAACUAGAAGAGCUAGAUGAAAACCAAUCAAAUGAAAGAAACCUGUUUGAAGAGACUCCCAAGACAGCAAGGACUUCAAGAGUAAAGGUCUUCAUGAGAAGGAAAAUUCAUAAGGGGGAACAUGACAUUUUGCACUGCUUUUCCCUUUGGAACAUUUGGAGCAUUUGCCAAUUUACCGUAUUGGCAAUAAAACCAUACAGAAAAGUGAGUAGAUUAUAAGU
rnacentral:lncRNA from 12 species